rnacentral:rRNA from 1 species
UUAAGCGACUAAGCGUACACGGUGGAUGCCCUGGCAGUCAGAGGCGAUGAAGGGCGUGCUAAUCUGCGAUAAGCGCCGGUAAGGUGAUAUGAACCGUUAUAACCGGCGAUACCCGAAUGGGGAAACCCAGUGUGAUUCGUCACACUAUCAUUAACUGAAUCCAUAGGUUAAUGAGGCGAACCGGGGGAACUGAAACAUCUAAGUACCCCGAGGAAAAGAAAUCAACCGAGAUUCCCCCAGUAGCGGCGAGCGAACGGGGAGGAGCCCAGAGCCUGAAUCAGCAUGUGUGUUAGUGGAAGCGUCUGGAAAGGCGCGCGAUACAGGGUGACAGCCCCGUACACAAAAGCGCAUGUGCUGUGAGCUCGAUGAGUAGGGCGGGACACGUGGUAUCCUGUCUGAAUAUGGGGGGACCAUCCUCCAAGGCUAAAUACUCCUGACUGACCGAUAGUGAACCAGUACCGUGAGGGAAAGGCGAAAAGAACCCCGGCGAGGGGAGUGAAAAAGAACCUGAAACCGUGUACGUACAAGCAGUGGGAGCACAGGUUUACCUGUGUGACUGCGUACCUUUUGUAUAAUGGGUCAGCGACUUAUAUUCUGUAGCAAGGUUAACCGUAUAGGGGAGCCGUAGGGAAACCGAGUCUUAACCGGGCGUUAAGUUGCAGGGUAUAGACCCGAAACCCGGUGAUCUAGCCAUGGGCAGGUUGAAGGUUGGGUAACACUAACUGGAGGACCGAACCGACUAAUGUUGAAAAAUUAGCGGAUGACCUGUGGCUGGGGGUGAAAGGCCAAUCAAACCGGGAGAUAGCUGGUUCUCCCCGAAAGCUAUUUAGGUAGCGCCUCGUGAAUUCAUCUCCGGGGGUAGAGCACUGUUUCGGCUAGGGGGCCAUCCCGGCUUACCAACCCGAUGCAAACUGCGAAUACCGGAGAAUGUUAUCACGGGAGACACACGGCGGGUGCUAACGUCCGUCGUGAAGAGGGAAACAACCCAGACCGCCAGCUAAGGUCCCAAAGUCAUGGUUAAGUGGGAAACGAUGUGGGAAGGCCCAGACAGCCAGGAUGUUGGCUUAGAAGCAGCCAUCAUUUAAAGAAAGCGUAAUAGCUCACUGGUCGAGUCGGCCUGCGCGGAAGAUGUAACGGGGCUAAACCAUGCACCGAAGCUGCGGCAGCGACACUGUGUGUUGUUGGGUAGGGGAGCGUUCUGUAAGCCUGUGAAGGUGUGUCGUGAGGCAUGCUGGAGGUAUCAGAAGUGCGAAUGCUGACAUAAGUAACGAUAAAGCGGGUGAAAAGCCCGCUCGCCGGAAGACCAAGGGUUCCUGUCCAACGUUAAUCGGGGCAGGGUGAGUCGACCCCUAAGGCGAGGCCGAAAGGCGUAGUCGAUGGGAAACAGGUUAAUAUUCCUGUACUUGGUGUUACUGCGAAGGGGGGACGGAGAAGGCUAUGUUGGCCGGGCGACGGUUGUCCCGGUUUAAGCGUGUAGGUGUGUGUUCCAGGUAAAUCCGGUUCACUUUAACACUGAGGCGUGAUGACGAGGCACUACGGUGCUGAAGCAACAAAUGCCCUGCUUCCAGGAAAAGCCUCUAAGCAUCAGGUAACAUCAAAUCGUACCCCAAACCGACACAGGUGGUCAGGUAGAGAAUACCAAGGCGCUUGAGAGAACUCGGGUGAAGGAACUAGGCAAAAUGGUGCCGUAACUUCGGGAGAAGGCACGCUGACACGUAGGUGAAGUGAUUUACUCAUGGAGCUGAAGUCAGUCGAAGAUACCAGCUGGCUGCAACUGUUUAUUAAAAACACAGCACUGUGCAAACACGAAAGUGGACGUAUACGGUGUGACGCCUGCCCGGUGCCGGAAGGUUAAUUGAUGGGGUCAGCGCAAGCGAAGCUCCUGAUCGAAGCCCCGGUAAACGGCGGCCGUAACUAUAACGGUCCUAAGGUAGCGAAAUUCCUUGUCGGGUAAGUUCCGACCUGCACGAAUGGCGUAAUGAUGGCCAGGCUGUCUCCACCCGAGACUCAGUGAAAUUGAACUCGCUGUGAAGAUGCAGUGUACCCGCGGCAAGACGGAAAGACCCCGUGAACCUUUACUAUAGCUUGACACUGAACAUUGAGCCUUGAUGUGUAGGAUAGGUGGGAGGCUUUGAAGCGUGGACGCCAGUCUGCGUGGAGCCGACCUUGAAAUACCACCCUUUAAUGUUUGAUGUUCUAACGUGGACCCGUAAUCCGGGUUGCGGACAGUGUCUGGUGGGUAGUUUGACUGGGGCGGUCUCCUCCUAAAGAGUAACGGAGGAGCACGAAGGUUGGCUAAUCCUGGUCGGACAUCAGGAGGUUAGUGCAAUGGCAUAAGCCAGCUUGACUGCGAGCGUGACGGCGCGAGCAGGUGCGAAAGCAGGUCAUAGUGAUCCGGUGGUUCUGAAUGGAAGGGCCAUCGCUCAACGGAUAAAAGGUACUCCGGGGAUAACAGGCUGAUACCGCCCAAGAGUUCAUAUCGACGGCGGUGUUUGGCACCUCGAUGUCGGCUCAUCACAUCCUGGGGCUGAAGUAGGUCCCAAGGGUAUGGCUGUUCGCCAUUUAAAGUGGUACGCGAGCUGGGUUUAGAACGUCGUGAGACAGUUCGGUCCCUAUCUGCCGUGGGCGCUGGAGAACUGAGGGGGGCUGCUCCUAGUACGAGAGGACCGGAGUGGACGCAUCACUGGUGUUCGGGUUGUCAUGCCAAUGGCACUGCCCGGUAGCUAAAUGCGGAAGAGAUAAGUGCUGAAAGCAUCUAAGCACGAAACUUGCCCCGAGAUGAGUUCUCCCUGAGACUUAGAGUCUCCUGAAGGAACGUUGAAGACGACGACGUUGAUAGGCCGGGUGUGUAAGCGCAGCGAUGCGUUGAGCUAACCGGUACUAAUGAACCGUGAGGCUUAACC